rnacentral:rRNA from 1 species
CCUACGGGUGGCAGCAGUGGGGAAUAUUGCACAAUGGGCGAAACCCUGAUGCAGCGACGCCGCGUGAGCGAUUAAGUAUUUCGGUAUGUAAAGCUCUAUCAGCAGGGACGAAAAUGACGGUACCUGACUAAGAAGCCACGGAUAACUCCGUGCCAGCAGCCGCGGUAAUAUGUAGGGGGCAAGCGUUAUCCGGAUUUACUGGGUGUAAAGGGAGCGUCGACGGUUCUGCAAGCCAGAUGUGAAAGCCCGGGGCUCAACCCCGGGACUGCAUUUGGAACUGUAAGGCUAGAGUGUCGGUGAGGUAGGCGGAAUUCCUGGUGUAGCGGUGAAAUGCGUAGAUAUUAGGAGGAACACCAGUGGCGAAGGCAGCUUACUGGACGGUGACUGACGUUGAGGCUCGAAAGCGUGGGGAGCAAACAGGAUUAGAUACCCGGGUAGUC